rnacentral:rRNA from 1 species
AUUGAACGCUGGCGGCAUGCCUUACACAUGCAAGUCGAACGGCAGCACGGAGCUUGCUCUGGUGGCGAGUGGCGAACGGGUGAGUAAUAUAUCGGAACGUACCCUAGAGUGGGGGAUAACGUAGCGAAAGUUACGCUAAUACCGCAUACGAUCUAAGGAUGAAAGUGGGGGAUCGCAAGACCUCAUGCUCGUGGAGCGGCCGAUAUCUGAUUAGCUAGUUGGUAGGGUAAAAGCCUACCAAGGCAUCGAUCAGUAGCUGGUCUGAGAGGACGACCAGCCACACUGGAACUGAGACACGGUCCAGACUCCUACGGGAGGCAGCAGUGGGGAAUUUUGGACAAUGGGCGAAAGCCUGAUCCAGCAAUGCCGCGUGAGUGAAGAAGCCUUCGGGUUGUAAAGCUCUUUUGUCAGGGAAGAAACGGUGAGAGCUAAUAUCUCUUGCUAAUGACGGUACCUGAAGAAUAAGCACCGGCUAACUACGUGCCAGCAGCCGCGGUAAUACGUAGGGUGCAAGCGUUAAUCGGAAUUACUGGGCGUAAAGCGUGCGCAGGCGGUUUUGUAAGUCUGAUGUGAAAUCCCCGGGCUCACCUGGGAAUUGCAUUGGAGACUGCAAGGCUAGAAUCUGGCAGAGGGGGGUAGAAUUCCACGUGUAGCAUUGAAAUGCGUAGAUAUGUGGAGGAAC